rnacentral:lncRNA from 1 species
GAUUGUGAAAAAUUACUUGAUUUAGUGCCAAGUUGUAUAACCUGUCGAUCACUGACGCGUGUCUAUAUCUGUUUUUUAUAAAGCUAAACCGGUGCUGACGAAUAACCAGCCCGUAUAAUUAUUUUCUUACAAAUUUAAAAUUUUAUUUUAUAGAGAAUUAGGAUAUUAUAUUAAAACUGGAUGAAAAUAAAAUUAAGCCGUCUCUCUUUUCCUUUGCAGCUGCUCGGUUUCCAUGUGUUUUCAACAUUGCAAAUCAUAGUUGUCAAGAAAA